UACGUAGGAGACGAGCGUUGUCCGGAGUUACUGGGCGUAAAGGGUGCGCAGGUGGCGGCGCGCGUGGGGGGUGAAAUCGCCCGGCUUAACUGGGCGGGGGCCUUCCAGACGGCGUGGCUUGAGCAGCGGAGGGGGACGUGGAAUUCCGGGUGGAGCGGUGAAAUGCGUAGAGAUCCGGAGGAACACCGACGGCGCAGGCAGCGUCGGGGCGGCUUGCUGACACUGAGGCACGAAAGCUGGGGGAGCAAACAGG
rnacentral:rRNA from 1 species